AUGUUCAAAAGGACGAAAGUUGGUGAACGAUCGCCCUGCUCUCUCCCCAUGCCGCUGGCUUUGCACGCCAAAGUGUUUACAAACAGCUGCGGUAACAUCCCUGAGCUCCGAAGGAAAACACUCCUGGAGCGAAAGAGAGAUCUUAACACGGAAUACGUCCAGGAAUUUGGCGACCGGAGCCAGCGAUGCGUUCAGACGUUCCCCAUCGAGGCGCUGGGCCGCCGGGUGCGCGGGGUGCGCGGGCUUGUCGUGGCAGCAGCCGCGAGCGGCGCCGCGGGGCCCCGCCGGCGGGGAGGACAGGGGAAAUGCGGCCGCGCCGGCGCGCUGCGCCUUGGCGAUCGACUGCCCUCCCGGCCGGCGCAGGCAGCGGGGCGAAGCGCCCGCCCAACGGCGUUUCCCUGCAGGCUUCUCCCCGCUCCUGCUCCCGCCCCGCUGCACCCGCGGCUGCCGGCAGCAUCGGCACCAGGAGCCGCUUUCUCGCCCCGGAGGAAACGGUGGCUUGGCCACGCAACGGGGAGAAACCGCCCCACACGACGGGGCGAUGGGCCCCACGGGCGCAGCCCGGCUCUCCUUCGAAGCGUCCCGUCUCCGGAAGCAGCGUCCUGCUCUCCUAACUGGGGAGAAAGGGGUCCCCRUUCCCGGGGCGCGGAGCCCUCGGAAGGCGCUUUAACCAGCACAGCCAAGAUUAGAGAACACGGAUCAGAUGUUUUUCCUAUCAAAGCCUUUCCUUGCCUUUCUUCCUUUCCUUCCCCCCUCCCCACGGCCGUUUCRGGUCUCCGCUGGGCCGGGCUUCGCGAUGGCUGCGAACGCCGCGGCGCGGCCGCCUCUGCCCGGCGCGGUUUGGGUGGCCUGAGCCGCGACGUCCCCGAGGGCUGGUUGCAGGUGGUGGGCAGACAGGCCUGGAGCCUCGGCCGCACCACAGAGCCCGGGGAGAAAUGUGCUUCCCCGACCAGAAAAGCACAAUAUUAUAUUCUUAAAACAUUCCAGCCCCGUCUGGGUGUUCUCCGCGCGCAUUCCUGUGCGCGGGAUUAUUAUUGUAGAGAAUUUAUAAAGUCAUUCAUUUCGCUGGAAGUGUAUGACACGGGUUUUGGUUGA
rnacentral:lncRNA from 1 species